AUCGUAUAGACAUGGCCGACGCGGAUCAAAGUGUAUUCUCUAUUCUUAUCAGCUUAAAAUCUGAUACAGAAUGUAUUUGGACCCAAGAUAUUAAACUUAUUUUUGCAAGUUGGCGGAGUGCGUGAAGCCUCCGUCACCUUCGCCGCGGGUCGGCCCGGUAUUGCACUACCUUUGGGAUUUUUGGUCUGAGGAAA